rnacentral:rRNA from 1 species
UACGGGGGGGGCUAGCGUUGUUCGGAAUCAUUGGGCGUAAAGCGCACGUAGGCGGCCUUGCAAGUCGGAUGUGAAAUCCCUCGGCUUAACCGGGGAACUGCAUCUGAUACUGGGUGGCUUGAGAUUGGGAGAGGGAUGCGGAAUUCCAGGUGUAGCGGUGAAAUGCGUAGAUAUCUGGAGGAACACCGGUGGCGAAGGCGGCAUCCUGGACCAACACUGACGCUGAGGAGCGAAAGCCAGGGGAGCAAACGGG